rnacentral:rRNA from 1 species
AGAGUUUGAUCAUGGCUCAGGAUGAACGCUGGCGGCGUGCUUAACACAUGCAAGUCGAACGGAACUCUUUGGAUCGAGGCUUCGGCCAAGUGAAUCUGAGUUUAGUGGCGGACGGGUGAGUAACGCGUGAGGAACCUGCCUUUCAGAGGGGAAUAACAGUUGGAAACGACUGCUAAUACCGCAUAAUGCAUAGAGACCGCGUGAUCUUUAUGCCAAAGAUUUUAUCGCUGAGAGAUGGCCUCGCGUCUGAUUAGCUUGUUGGCGGGGUAACGGCCCACCAAGGCGACGAUCAGUAGCCGGACUGAGAGGUUGGCCGGCCACAUUGGGACUGAGAUACGGCCCAGACUCCUACGGGAGGCAGCAGUGGGGAAUAUUGGGCAAUGGGCGCAAGCCUGACCCAGCAACGCCGCGUGAAGGAAGAAGGUCUUCGGAUUGUAAACUUCUUUUAACAGGGACGAUAAUGGCGGUACCUGUUGAAUAAGCUCCGGCUAACUACGUGCCGGCAGCCGCGGUAAUACGUAGGGAGCUAGCGUUAUCCGGAUUUACUGGGUGUAAAGGGCGUGUAGGCGGGACUGCAAGUCAGAUGUGAAAACUCCGGGCUCAACUCGGAGCCUGCAUUUGAAACUGUAGUUCUUGAGUGAUGGAGAGGCAAGCGGAAUUCCUAGUGUAGCGGUGAAAUGCGUAGAUAUUAGGAGGAACACCAGUGGCGAAGGCGGCUUGCUGGACAUUAACUGACGCUAAGGCGCGAAAGCGUGGGGAGCAAACAGGAUUAGAUACCCUGGUAGUCCACGCCGUAAACG